GAUGAACGCUAGCUACAGGCUUAACACAUGCAAGUCGAGGGGUAACGAGAGGAAAGCUUGCUUUCCUUGUCGACGACCGGCGCACGGGUGAGUGACGCGUAUCCAACCUGCCCCCAACUAGGGAAUAACCUUGCGAAAGUAAGACUAAUACCCUAUAAUUUCCUCAGAUGUCAUCUGACGAGGAAUAAAGAUUUAUCGGUUGUGGAUGGGGAUGCGUCUGAUUAGCUUGUUGGCGGGGUAACGGCCCACCAAGGCAACGAUCAGUAGGGGUUCGGAGAGGAAGGUCCCCCACAUUGGAACUGAGACACGGUCCAAACUCCUACGGGAGGGAGCAGUGAGGAAUAUUGGUCAAUGGGCGGAAGCCUGAACCAGCCAAGUAGCGUGCAGGAUGACGGCCCUAUGGGUUGUAAACUGCUUUUAUACAGGAAUAAAGUUAGCCACGUGUGGUUAUUUGUAGGUACUGUAUGAAUAAGGACCGGCUAAUUCCGUGCCAGCAGCCGCCGUAA
rnacentral:rRNA from 1 species